rnacentral:rRNA from 1 species
UACGUAGGGUGCGAGCGUUGUCCGGAAUUAUUGGGCGUAAAGAGCUCGUAGGCGGUCUGUCGCGUCGAUCGUGAAAACUUGGGGCUUAACCCUGAGCUUGCGGUCGAUACGGGCAUGACUGGAGUUCGGCAGGGGAGACUGGAAUUCCUGGUGUAGCGGUGAAAUGCGCAGAUAUCUGGAGGAACACCGGUGGCGAAGGCGGCAUCCUGGACCAACACUGACGCUGAGUGAGCGAAAGCCAGGGGAGCAAACGGG